GUCUCCGGCGUGUCCUGCAUCUCGGCAGCCAGCUCCUCUGCAGCUCAGGCCCCGUGAGUCACAGCCGCUUCCUCAAAUGCUUUGGCUGACCGCAUCCCCCCGCCCCGCCAGAACCCUGGAUGCCGGAGCCCUCCCAGCGAGAGCCGUGUUUAUUUUACUUUACAUACAUUUUCCAACACGGAGCGGCUUGCACACAUGCAGCUCUUAGGCCCGGGCCGCACGUCUCAGAAGCCCCGUGUGCGACUUUGACCGCCGCACGAUCCUCUGCCGGGGGAGGUGGGCCCGCUGCGCUUUGGGAGCACCCGCGCCCGACACUGAGGUCUCGGUGCUGUGUUCGGCCUCUUCGUCCCUGCGGGUCCCCUCUGGGAGCAGAGGCGGUCGGAAAACCCUGGGGCUGAAGUGCAGGCUUCGGGAGGACGCGACCUGCCAAGAUCAGCUCCCGGCACGUGAUGGGAGCCUGGCUCACCUUCCCCCAGCGCACGAUGGGCCGCAGCCUCCCCGGUCGGCCUGGCCUGCUGGAAAGGAGCAGCUCUGUUUCCAGAGGCUUCUGGCGAAGCCCACGGCCUCCCAUUGUUGGCUGAUUUAUAAGGAAAGAGGGGAAAGGCCAAGUGUGGAUGCCAUUAGCAUAACCUAAUCCAGACCCCAUGACAAGUCCAGGAUCCUGCAGGGAGAGGGCAUCCUUGAACGUGAAGGACUGGCUUUGGAAACUUGGCCUCCCGGAAGAAAGGUCUCCGGGCCCACCCACACCCACCUUGUGGACGCCCCCGCAGUCGAAUACACUCCACAGGAAGACGGACCACAAACAGCAGCAGCCUCCGGUGUCGGCCCAGUGAUCCGGGAGCUCAGAGUGUAGGUACCUGACGGCUUGACUCGUCCCCAGGACAAGGCCUUUUUGCUAAAAUAGCCUUCUCAUUGGCUGCGGCUUUGGAGGUGGCAGAAAUCAUACGUUUAAUCACGGCGCCCUCCUGCUUGCCAAGGUUAGCAGGGGCUGCACUGCUGUGCCCUCCUGUCCCUGGAGGCUCUGGUGGCCCCAAGCCCCACACUGCCAGGCUGGGUGCCAAGCUGCCGUGACCCCGGAAUUCGGCCUGUGGUGAUCGGUCUUCCCUGGCACGGAGCUGAGUUAGGGGCUCUAGAAUCAGUCCCAGCCACGUGAGGCUCUCCCUGGGAUGUGAGGGUCGUCUCGUCUGUUUACACGGGGGCCACAGUGCAGAUCCCAGCCCGGGCAGGGGAGGGGCAAAUCUAUGCCCACUUCAAGCUUCCACUUCUGCCCGCCUCAAAGUGCCGGAGACUCCGGCACCUCUGCGUUCCUCCUUCCCGGUAGGAACAGAAAGCUGGGAAAGGGCUGGGGUGGCAAGGAAGAGCCCCAGGAAGACGCGAGUGGCUCUCCCCACUCCCUACAGGACCUCCCUCCCCCAAGCCCAUGGGCCGCCUUCUCCAGGGACGCUUCCCUGUCCCACCCACCGGGCAAGGUGGGCCCAGCAGGGUCUCCUUUUCACCGUGCGCCCCCUCCUGUGGCCGGGUCCUGGGCUGAUGACUUCACAUGCUGCUUUUACAAGUCAGGUUUAUUGCGGUAUCACGUACACACAUAAGGCUCACCCCUUUUCGAUGCACAGCCGACGACUUGGUAAGUGUCCAGAGUGGGGCACUUCUGCCCCGACAGAGGCAGCCCACAUUUUGCCCCUCUGCAGUCAGGCCCCUUCCCGGCCUCCAACCACCACCUGUCUCUCCUCGGUCCUACAGCUUUGCGUCCUCCAGAAUUGUCCUGUGAGUGACUCCCACAGGAUGGAGACUUUUGUGUCUGGCUUCCUUCACUUCGCAGCAGGCUUCGCGGGACCCGUGUGGUGGCACCAGCGUCCCGCCCUUGGUGCUGCUGAGCUUGGCUCUGCAGAAACCCAUGAAAGAGGAUCCUGAAAGAGCAAGGGCGGCCUCCAGGUGAAGGUGGUGGGCGGCCUCCAGGUGAAGGCGGCCUCCAGGUGAAGGUGGUCAGCACCCUCCCUUUGGCCAAGAGGAGACUGCAGUUUCAACUCAAAGAUUAUUCCUGAAUGAUGCAGCAAGCUUAAACUUCCUUAAAAACAAACCUCUGGGAAGAGGAAAACGAGGCAAGAUGCUGAGAAAAAGUCAUCUCCCACUCUGCCCUUCUCUGGCAAAUCGAAGUGUCCUCUUGUGGGAGGCGGUGGGCAGCGACACUCCUGUUGGACGUCAGUGCUCUCGGGAUGGGCCCGGCCACCCCGGAGCAGAACUCACUUAGGGCCUGGUGCCCCUGUGCCCAGUUCUCAGAACGUCGGAGUGCUCAGUUCUCAGAACGCCGGAGUGCCCCAUUCAUAACCUGCAGCCCCGUUCAUAGCCUGCAGCUCCCCUCCUUCCUCUCCUCCCGGUCGUCAGGGAGCACCCCCAGCUCCCCUCCCCACUCUCAAACCCUCCUCCUCCCUCCCCUCUCUCAUUUCCCUGUUUGCAGGAUCUCCUCCUGCCCACUCUCCAGCCCAGGUCCUCCCCUCUCAUCUCCAAUUCUGCUUCAUGGGCCAUGACAGCAGGCAGGCCAUGGCCUGCUCUCAGCAGUUUGAUCGAUGGACUAAGGAGAUCACUCCUAUGAGAGUGAAAAAGUCAAAUGUGCCUGAGAUUCGGAUGGGGAGCUCUCAAAGCUACGGAUUGCAAGAGUCAACACCGCCUCAAAAGUACAAGGCCGGCCGGGUGCAGUGGCUCACACCUGUAAUCCCAGCACUUUGGGAGACUGAGGCGGGUGGAUCACCUGAGGUCAGGAGCUCAAGACCAGCCUGACCAACAUGGUGAAAUCCCGUCUCUAUUAAAAAUACAAAAAAGAUUAGCCGGGUGUGGUGGUGCAUGCUUGUAGUCCCAGCUACUCGGGAGGCUGAGGCAGGGGGAGCACUUGAACCCGGGAGGUGGAGGUUGCAGUGAGCCGAGAUUGCACCAUUGCACUCCAGCCUGGGCAACAGAGUGAGACCCUGCCUCAAAAAAAUAAAAAAAUAAAAGUACGAGGCCCGGUUUAAAUGCAGGAGGAAUCUGGUGAGCGAGUUUCACUCUGAUGCAACAGAAAAGCCAAGCCAAGCCUUGGCUGUGCCUGGUCUUGGCCGGGGAGCCACAGGCAGGGUCUGCUGGUUUCGGUGUCAGGGGCACAUCCCCAGGACCACGUCUGAGAUGGGAAGUGCCUUGAUGGAAAACUGAUACCUUUUUCUUUCCGAGUAACUUUAGAACAUGUCGCUUCAAAUAUAACUAAUAUCCUGAUUUCAGUGGACUUGCAUGGAAGGAAACGCAAGUUCAUUUGCCAGUGGGGGGUGAGGACUGGGAGAGUGGGGAGCAGGGUGGGGAAGAGGGGAGCAUUCCACAAGCCGCAAGAGCCUGGACACCUCCAGCCUUCAAUAAAUAGCAUUUGAAUUUGC
rnacentral:lncRNA from 1 species